UGUCAGAGAAUGUCAAACGCAAAAAUGGUAAUUGGAAAAUUUUCACGGUGGCCAAUUGUUUUAUCAGACGGGAUCAGCACCAUAUAGAAAUCGAAAUUACGGUGCAAAAAUGAAAAUUGUUCCAAAUAUGUAUAAAUACUUCAAUAAGUGAAUUCGAGAGCAAAAAAAUGUGAUAAGCGCAGUUCAUAGUGAUAGCAAUAUUGUAAUAAAUCUAGUCAAAUGGAAAGACAAUUGGGGGUGAAGGAGGGCGUUUUUUCGCUACUCAAAUUCAUUCAUCAUUAGGAAAACGAAAAUCGCAAAAAACAAACACCACUAUAAAGGUUUUAAGUUGAACUACUGUGAAGUUUGAAAAAUCGACGUUGUGUGGUGUGGCCGAAGGCUAGUUGUGGGAAAGGGCGACGUCAUAACAGUAGUAGACCAAAGUUUGGAAUAGCCUUUUUCGUCACGUUUCUUGGCCCAUACAUUUUUACUACCACGAUUUUAUAUGUUUGGGCACGUCAUCGUAUAGCCAGUAUGUAGUUUACCUUCGAUUAAAUCAAGUAUGCAAAAGCAAGAAGACAGUACUGCAAGAAUUUAAAAAAUAAUAAUUAAAUUAAACGACAAAUAAUCGACAGUCACAAUGGACGACGACACAAUGCUCAACAACCAUGGUCCUCAGCCUGGAGCUGAGACUGUUUAUGGCACCGAGGACAACAAUAUGGUCAUGUCAGAGAAGAAUGAACAGGUUGUGAGCAUCGUGAGUUUGUUUAUUUAAAUAUUCAUUUUGUCGUUUUUGCUUUUAUUGCGCAUU